CCUACGGGAGGCAGCAGUGAGGAAUAUUGGUCAAUGGGCGCGAGCCUGAACCAGCCAAGUAGCGUGAAGGAUGAAUGCCCUACGGGUUGUAAACUUCUUUUAUAAAGGAAUAAAGGGAGGCACGUGUGCCUUUUUGUAUGUACUUUAUGAAUAAGGAACGGCUAACUCCGUGCCAGCAGCCGCGGUAAUAAGGAGGAUCCGAGAGUUAUCCGGAUUUAUUGGGUUUAAAGGGAGAGUAGAUGGGUUUUUAAGUCAGUUGUGAAAGUUUGCGGCUCAACCGUAAAAUUGCAAUUGAUACUGGCAGUCUUGAGUACAGUUGAGGUAGGCGGAAUUCGUGGUGUAGCGGUGAAAUGCAUAGAUAUCACGCAGAACCCCGAUUGCGAAGGCAGCAUUCCGGCUUCCUACUGACGCUGAGGCACGAAAGCGUGGGGAUCGAACAGGAUUAGAUACCCUGGUAGUC
rnacentral:rRNA from 1 species